CAAGCUCAACGCGAGCAGAACUCCACACCGAAACACGGAUCGCAGAGCGAGGGACACAGACAGAGACAGCGACAGAGACUUGGCAGCGGGAUCUCUUUCUCUUAGUGCGGUGUAAAAUCUCAGCUUUCCGCGGUGUGUAAGAGAUACGUUUCAGUGUGGUGCUAUGGUGUGGCAUAAAGAAGGCAUUAAAAUCGCUUGCCAAGCUGACAAAACGGCAAUAAAUUAAGCCGAAAAACCGCCGCGGGUUCGCAUAUAAAAAACAACAACAACAACAACAACAACAACAAACGAACGAACAAAUUUCGCAGCUUGGCCGCUUACACGGUUGCAGUUUUCGAAAGGUAACCGAGGUAGCUGGUUCCCGUAACAGCAAAAGCAAAAGCAAAAGCAAAGCAGCAACAGCACCGCCGGCCAGGAAGAGCAACCAACGAAAGAACCAAGCAACCAGUCUUCUAAGCAGAGAUCUUCUUCGGGUCGGUCUUCUUUGGUUUCGUUUGGGUCGUUGCCACAGCCAGUGCAACUGCAACUGCAACUGCCACUGCCACUGCCACUGCGUGUUGGGAGCAUGGGGAAACGCGCCGUGGCCAAUGCCCAUGAAAAUGUCGAGGUCUAGGACUAUUAUUAGUUUUGCUCACUUGCGGUAAUUAAAGCGUGAAAAUCACUCUUUAAAUUCUCAUAAAUUCGUGCUUUAAACGCAACAUUCCGAGCCAAAGGCCGCAACUUUGUCACUGUGUGUGCGUGUGUGCGUGUGUGUGUGUGUUUGCUGCAUGUGUGUGCGACAUUUGUAAUGCGUUUUCAAUUAUAGACUGGAGUCCAAGUGGGAUUACGACGGAAUUGCUGACAAAGGAGUGCAUAGGUAAGUGCUUGGGCCGGCAACUUGCGCCCAUGUUAAUGGCUUGUGGGCGUGGCCCAGCAAUUGCCACAGCGACUGCCAAUUGAUUUUAAUUUAAGUCGCGGCGAUUCGACUUAAAUUGCCAAUUAUAUUUAGUCGCUAGAUAUACGAUAAAAGUCGAGAGCAGAGAGCCAAAACGAAACUGAACUAAGCCAACAAUUUGGCGAGCGUUUUUCCUGUGCCCCUUUUCGUAUUGUAAAUAAAACGGGUAAUUGGCGGACAACAGACAGGCAGACAACUGUGAUUUAAUCGCAGCCGCGUCUCAGACAGAGACCACAAAUGCCAACACUUUGGCAAUGCCCCAAUCCCAAAAUCCCAGUCCCCAGACUAUCCCACAUCCCCAGCCCAUACAGCACCGAUCCGUUUCGUUCCGUUUCGUUUUGUUCCGCUCUCACCCUGCACUUGCUCAUUAAAAGCGCGCCACACUGACCUCAAAGAGCUUAACUUAUUCACUCACACUUACACUCUAUCGCUCUCUCUCUCUCCGCGGCUGGACCUGGACCAAAACAAUACAGAAACAAGUGAGAGGGAACAGCAGCCAGUCGGACAAUCGAAGCUUUUGAUACUCUGCCAGUUGAAUUUCGAAACAAACUGUAAAGUAAAGCUUACAUACAACCGCGUAUGAAUAUCAUAAAGCAUUCCGAUACUUGCAGCCACCUCAAUAAUGUGUGUAAAAUAUUUGUGUACAUGCUCUCCCUUUCUAUGUCUCAAGCC
rnacentral:lncRNA from 1 species